AGUGAACGCUGGCGGUAGGCCUAACACAUGCAAGUCGAACGGCAGCACAGUAAGAGCUUGCUCUUACGGGUGGCGAGUGGUGGACGGGUGAGGAAUACAUCGGAAUCUACUUUUUCGUGGGGGAUAACGUAGGGAAACUUACGCUAAUACCGCAUACGACCUACGGGUGAAAGCAGGGGAUCUUCGGACCUUGCGCGAUUGAAUGAGCCGAUGUCGGAUUAGCUAGUUGGCGGGGUAAAGGCCCACCAAGGCGACGAUCCGUAGCUGGACUGAGAGGAUGAUCAGCCACACUGGAACUGAGACACGGUCCAGACUCCUACGGGAGGCAGCAGUGGGGAAUAUUGGACAAUGGGCGCAAGCCUGAUCCAGCCAUACCGCGUGGGUGAAGAAGGCCUUCGGGUUGUAAAGCCCUUUUGUUGGGAAAGAAAAGCAGCAGGUUAAUACCCCGCUGUUCUGACGGUACCCAAAGAAUAAACACCGGCUAACUUCGUG
rnacentral:rRNA from 1 species